AAAAGUUGGUAGAAGCAGAAGAGAUAUGAAGACAAUGUAAUCAGUUCAUCACCCUUGAAGACGUAGUUUUGAGGUGGUCAGUCCCUCAGCCUGGAGAAGAGUAUUUGUUCCAUAGUAUGAAACAGUGUGCAGUUGAAAUGACAGUAUGGAGCCUUAUAUACUGUCAGGGGGUGAGGUGUAGGCCACUAGUAGAAGAAAGAAUGUAAUCAUUGAGAGGUCACGUCCCCCUCAAAUCCAACCAUUCUCACUUGUAGAAGUUGUCCAAGGUGUUUUCUGUUCUGUACCAAGAUACCAUUGUGUUGCAGUGUCUGACAAGAGUGAAUAUUAAAAUGGUGUAAAACACCAACAGGUUGUUAGGCAAGACACCUCGAAACUACGUCUUCAAGGUUGAUGGACUGAUUACAUUGUCUUCACAUCACUUCUGCUUCUACCAACUUUUCUGUACUCGACUGAAGAAGUCUACUGUGUAGGCAAAGCAUUUUGAAAUAAAGAUACCUAACUGUUGCAUAUGUGUCUUACCCAACAACCUGUCAGUAUUUUAUACCAUUUUAAUUACUUUGAUAUGUAGAUAUGGAACCAGCCUUCCCUUUUCCCAAGUAUUUUUCUCACCUGCAUUCCAUGCAUUCCCAGUAAUUAAUUAAUUCAAAUUUACACCAGCAGUAAAAGGUCUCUGUAUGUUUUUGAGAUUCGCAGUUUCUCCUGCCUUAAAUGGGGUUGUGCUUGUCAGUGUAAAAAUGUUCAGACUAGAGAAUACAAGUUCUUUAAAAAAAAAAGUAUGAGCCAAUAGCUUUGCAUCCCAUUUCUUGAAGGCUCUUGUUAUCCGGCUUAUCAUUUUCUUUGCUGUUGUGAUAGCUAGUACAUGUCUUAUAAAACUCCAGGAGAUAAGGUGAUAAGGCGUGGGGUGAGGAAAUGUGUGCAGUACAUCUCCUACAGUGCACUAAGAGCGUCAGUCCGUAAUUGUGAGCUCUGCAGUGAUGAGGUUUACCUCGUGUCUUGUCAGAAGCAGACUUUUGUGACGUUUAUAUCUUGAUAUGGAAAGGCAGUGAAUAAGUCACAGGAUCUGAACCAGUGUGGUGAUAUUAGGUGUAUUGUUGAUUGUGAAAAAAAGUUAUUGAGAAACUAGAAAAGUAAAUCUUGGACAUAGAACUGAAAACUGAAAAAAAAAAUAGGAACAUAUAGCAAAAGAACCGUUUUUUAAUGCCGACUGUGACCGGACUAGAAUUUCAACAAAAAACGAG